rnacentral:rRNA from 1 species
CUACGGGCCGCUGCAGUCAAGAAUCUUCCACAAUGGGCGAAAGCCUGAUGGAGCGACGCCGCGUGACCGAAGAAGCCCCUUGGGGUGUAAAGGUCUUUUAUAAGGGACGAAUCAAUGACGGUACCUUAUGAAUAAGAGGCUGCUAAUCACGUGCCAGCAGCAGCGGUAAUACGUGAGCCUCAAGCGUUAUCCGGAUUUAUUAGGCGUAAAGAGUCUAUAGGCGGCUCGGCACGUUCUCUGUUAAAUCUCUAGGCUCAACCUAGAUAUCACAGAGAAUACGGCCUUGCUAGAGAUCGGAAGAGGCAGAUGGAAUUGCCGGUGUAACGGUCAAAUGUGUUAAUAUCGGCAAGAACACCAAAUGCGAAGGCAUUCUGCUGGGACGAUUCUGACGCUGAGAGACGAAAGCGUGGGGAGCGAAUGGGAUUAGAUACCCUGGUAGUC